rfam:Megaselia scalaris, Durham, NC isolate 2 -- Noor lab, WGS project CAQQ02000000 data, contig: ctg0000382357
AUACAGGAUUUUUUUAAAUCUACCAACGAAACUUUAAAUUUUUCA